rnacentral:tRNA from 2 species
CCUUCGAUAGCUCAGUUGGUAGAGCGGUGGACUGUAGAGGAAUUAAAAGCGGACAUCCAUAGGUCGCUGGUUCAAAUCCGGCUCGAAGGA